GGGGAUGUAGCUCAGUGGUACAAUGUGUGGUUAGUGAGCACAAGACCCUGGGUUCAACCCCCAGCAACAUCU
rnacentral:tRNA from 1 species